ACGAACGCUGGCGGCAUGCCUAACACAUGCAAGUCGAACGAGGCCUUCGGGUCUAGUGGCGCCCGGGUGCGUAACGCGUGGGAACCUGCCCUUAGGUUCGGAAUAACUCCCCGAAAGGGGUGCUAAUACCGGAUAAUGUCUUCGGACCAAAGAUUUAUCGCCUUUGGAUGGGCCCGCGUUGGAUUAGCUAGUUGGUAGGGUAAAAGCCUACCAAGGCGACGAUCCAUAGCUGGUCUGAGAGGAUGAUCAGCCACACUGGGACUGAGACACGGCCCAGACUCCUACGGGAGGCAGCAGUGGGGAAUAUUGGACAAUGGGCGAAAGCCUGAUCCAGCAAUGCCGCGUGAGUGAUGAAGGCCUUAGGGUUGUAAAGCUCUUUUACCCGGGAUGAUAAUGACAGUACCGGGAGAAUAAGCUCCGGCUAACUCCGU
rnacentral:rRNA from 1 species